UGGAUCCAGACUUUGAUUAUGGCUCAGGACGAACGCUGGCGGCGUGCCUAACACAUGCAAGUCGAACGGAGAAUUUUAUUUCGGUAGAAUUCUUAGUGGCGAACGGGUGAGUAACGCGUAGGCAACCUGCCCUUUAGACGGGGACAACAUUCCGAAAGGAGUGCUAAUACCGGAUGUGAUCAUCUUGCCGCAUGGCAGGAUGAAGAAAGAUGGCCUCUACAAGUAAGCUAUCGCUAAAGGAUGGGCCUGCGUCUGAUUAGCUAGUUGGCAGUGUAACGGACUACCAAGGCGAUGAUCAGUAGCCGGUCUGAGAGGAUGAACGGCCACAUUGGGACUGAGACACGGCCCAAACUCCUACGGGAGGCAGCAGUGGGGAAUCUUCCGCAAUGGACGAAAGUCUGACGGAGCAACGCCGCGUGAGUGAUGAAGGAUUUCGGUCUGUAAAGCUCUGUUGUUUAUGACGAACGUGCAGUGUGUGAACAAUGCAUUGCAAUGACGGUAGUAAACGAGGAAGCCACGGCUAACUACGUGCCAGCAGCCGCGGUAAUACGUAGGUGGCGAGCGUUGUCCGGAAUUAUUGGGCGUAAAGAGCAUGUAGGCGGCUUAAUAAGUCGAGCGUGAAAAUGCGGGGCUCAACCCCGUAUGGCGCUGGAAACUGUUAGGCUUGAGUGCAGGAGAGGAAAGGGGAAUUCCCAGUGUAGCGGUGAAAUGCGUAGAUAUUGGGAGGAACACCAGUGGCGAAGGCGCCUUUCUGGACUGUGUCUGACGCUGAGAUGCGAAAGCCAGGGUAGCGAACGGGAUUAGAUACCCCGGUAGUCCUGGCCGUAAACGAUGGGUACUAGGUGUAGGAGGUAUCGACCCCUUCUGUGCCGGAGUUAACGCAAUAAGUACCCCGCCUGGGGAGUACGGCCGCAAGGUUGCAACUCAAAUGAAUUGACGGA
rnacentral:rRNA from 1 species